UACAGAGGGUGCAAGCGUUAAUCGGAAUUACUGGGCGUAAAGCGUGCGUAGACGGUUAUGUAAGUCAGGUGUGAAAGCCCCUGGGCUCAACCUGGGAAUGGCAGUGGAUACUGGCAAGCUAGAGUGCGGUAGAAGGGUAGUGGAAUUCCCGGUGUAGCAGUGAAAUGCGUAGAGAUCGGGAGGAACACCAGUGGCGAAGGCGGCUACCUGGACCAGCACUGACACUGAGGCACGGAAA
rnacentral:rRNA from 1 species